AAAAUCACUUGGCCAGAAAUAAGAUACUUCAGUACUCGGGUCAGCAGCUAGCAUGGAUAAAACUAUCUCCUUCCUAUGUUUGAGAGGGCUCUGACGUUGCUUCCCAUCUGGCACACUGUAACUUGCAGAUCCGUUUGGCUUUUGCACUUGCACCAAGAUGAAAUCUUUAAUCUAACAGAAUUGAUACUGGAAGAUGUAGUCUCUGUGUGAUCUCUCGUUUUCCUUGUAGUUUUUUGUAUUUCAACACAUGAAUUCUAGCUAGUUGGUUUAACAGACCCUGACUAUGCAGUUACUCUCUGCUUUUGGCAAAGAAGUGGGCUCAUCAGCUUGUGAUGAAUUUCAUAUUAAAUAUCUGGAUCUCGUGAUGUCUUCAAGCAAAGUGUACCAAGUAGUCAGGAGAACAUGGAUACAAAUUCGAUCAAUCUGGUCUACUGAAAUUAAUUUUGCUAAUAAGAAAUUGCAGAGAGAUGCUUUCCUUUAGUCAUUAGCUUGCUUGGAAUGGAAGAAAUGCCAGACUUCCCAAUAUUCAAAGUUCCAGUACUUCUGUUUUGGUUGCUCAAAUACUCUGGUACGGAUAUAGUCCAAUCGAUUUUUUAUAAACGAAAAAGAAAAGAGAUUAACUUCAAUUCUUUGAUUUAUUUAAGAAAUAAAACCAUUACAAACCAAAUAUUAUUAUUCCUGCAUGCAUCAAAUUGUUACACUACUGUUUGUAGAUACACAAGAAGCCAUAGCUAACUUGGAGAUAAAAAGCGCACCCUAGCAAGUGUGAAUUCUUUUCCAUCUAUCCAAACACCAGUUUGUGACCAUUGCACAUCCUCCCAGUCAAGAUUCUCCUCCAAUACCU
rnacentral:lncRNA from 1 species